AACGAACGCUGGCGGCAUGCCUAACACAUGCAAGUCGAACGAGACCUUCGGGUCUAGGGGCGCACGGGUGCGUAACGCGUGGGAACCUGCCCUUAGGUUCGGAAUAACUCCCCGAAAGGGGUGCUAAUACCGGAUAAUGUCUUAGGACCAAAGAUUUAUCGCCUUUGGAUGGGCCCGCGUUGAAUUAGCUAGUUGGUAGGGUAAAAGCCUACCAAGGCGACGAUCCAUAGCUGGUCUGAGAGGAUGAUCAGCCACACUGGGACUGAGACACGGCCCAGACUCCUACGGGAGGCAGCAGUGGGGAAUAUUGGACAAUGGGCGAAAGCCUGAUCCAGCAAUGCCGCGUGAGUGAUGAAGGCCUUAGGGUUGUAAAGCUCUUUUACCCGGGAUGAUAAUGACAGUACCGGGAGAAUAAGCUCCGGCUAACUCCGUG
rnacentral:rRNA from 1 species